rnacentral:lncRNA from 1 species
CUCCUUUCUCUAUUGCUACAUUGUGGAUUCCUUGUGCAUGUCUCACCUUUCAUCCAUUUCCGGUCCAACACACGAUAUUAGAAUCUAUCACAUGUACCCUUUACCUUUACGUACUACAUAUAGAGGUGUCAAAAUGGAUAAUCCAACUCAAACCAACCCAUAUCCAUAUGAACCCAUUCUCUUAUGGACUAUGGAUAAACCCAAUCCAUUUAAUUAAUGGUUUGGAUCAAUCUAUAACUCAUUUAAAUUAAUGGGUUAAUGGUUUUAAUGAGUUGACUCACUAUUACAUAUUAUCAAUAUUACAAAUCAAUCAAAAUAAGUAAAUAAUUAUGUAAAUUUUAAAUAAAAAUAGAGAAAAAGACUAGGAUAGCACCAAACCAAGUUUUUGUUCCCAAAGUAGCACUCAAGGGUCAAAGUCACAAAAAUAGGUUUCAUUAAAGAGGUAAAUAUACACUUAUACCCCUUGGGUUAAUUAAUCCAAACCUUAGGGUUUAGAGUUAAGGGGGUGGAGUUUUGGAAUUAGGGUUUAAAAUUUUAUAAAAAAUAAAUACUAAAAUAAAAAAAACUCCCAAACUUUGGAACCUUUCGUCCCCAGCCGUAUCCCAUAUCUGUAUUAUGAACAGAACUUUAUUAUAGUCUUACAACUCGACAACAGAACACAUUGUAAUGCAAGAGGUGAAACAAAGGCUUUGAAUGGUGACCAAGGAACGAAGGGGAACACUGAAUUCCUUAUCAUUCCCAAAAAAAAUCACCAUUCACAAGGAAUAGUUUUUCCUUCUUGUUCCUCUCCAUUCCUUUUUUUGUAGAGAAAUAUAGAACAAAAACAUUCCUUGUUAAAUUUGAUAAGGAACAAGCAUUCCUUUUCAUUCCUUCAAUUUUAUUCCUAUACAUUCCUUUCCUAUUCGUUCCUCGUGUUCCCGAAAAGGUCACCAGUCGGAGCCAUAAACUUCAAAAGGUGCUAUUAUUGACAAUUGCCCAUAAAAAUAUUACUAACACUGUCUAAAAUUUGAUUAUGCAAAUUUAAAAGUAAAAAAAAAAACUAACAAAAUUAUAAAACAUAAAAAAUAAAACAGAGUAUCUUCAUUAGACUAGCUUUAAAGUCUUUGUGAAAGGCUUUUUUUUUUUAACUUGUUAUGGUAGAAACAUUCCAACACGUUACAAACAGAUGAAAACGAAACCAUACGAAAGGGAUCAAGCACAGCAACUCUGUCACCGUACUUAUCCGCAGAUGAUCUCCAUAUAUCAGGAACAACCUCCCAUUCAUUAGAUCUCAAAUCAGUAGCAGCAUCAUCCCCUGGUAUUGAUGAGCGUUCCAAGAACGGUGAACAACGCCUUAGCCCCUUCUCCUGAACCUGUAAGAAUGGUCCACAGAUCAUUCAAAAAAGCUGAUAACACUGGCAACAACCAAAACUAAGACAAGUCAAGAAUUCAGAGAUCAAGCUCUGGUGAACAAAAAGUGAUAUAGCGGUUGUUAGACAUAAACUAGUCUGGUUUAGUGCAACCCAUAAAGUUGACAACCCCAAAAGUCAACCCUCAGCAAGACCAGCACAUACAACAAUCUUAGCAAACCAAUAAGACCAACAAAAGAUCAUAUGUACGUCCUUGCUAUCACCCUUUAGCACACAUAAGAACUUAAAUAAAAUCUAAGCAAGUCUCGUGAGUAUUUCUCCAAGCUCCAACCAAACUAAAUUCCAAAAGCUACAAAUCUCAGAUUCGCUUUGCAAGAGCAGCUACAAAAACUUUGAAGAGACACUGUAACAAUUUAAAGAGUCAAGUGCACUUACCUUAAUAAACUAGAGCUGAGCCAUAAUCAAAACCAAACACAGAAUCAACCCAAAACCCAUAAGAAUGACCAAACAAAAACACCCGAAUCAUGAAUGUUAUCUAAAUCAAAAGAAUGAUCAAACGAAAAACACCCAAAAUCAAACCAAACACAGAAGCAAACAACACAGAUCUCUCCGUUCAACAAGUAGAUCAAACGGUGAGAACCUAAAAGAAAUGACGCAAUCAGAUUAAGAUAUUAAGCUUCAAUUGAUCUGAAAUAUCUUAGAGUCAAUGGAGUCUCUUCUAAACUAACGAGUUUGUCGAUAGAUCAAAUCAAACCCAGAAAAUACACUUCAAUCGAUCAUAAAUCAACAAAAUCAAUGACCCAAAAAGGCUAAAUUGAAGGAAAAUAGACUUUGACUCACAACGAAGGUGACGUUGUUGUGUUGUGACCAAUGACCCAAAAGGUGUGAUUGAUGUGGUGAUCAAUGCCAAUGGUGUAUGUGUUGAACAGAGAUCAAAGCGUUCGCUAGCGAGAAACGAAAAAAAAAUGAGAGGAAUUAUGUGAGAAAAACUGGGUUGGAUUGGAUAAUCCAUAAACCCAUUUUUAUCCAAACCAAUAUGAAUCCAACUCACUAAACUCAUUAGCCCAUAAAAACCAUUAAUCCAUUAACAUCCAAAUUAUUGACUCAUUAAAACCAUGGAUUGGUUUGGUUUGGAUCAAUCCAUUAAUUUAAACCCAUUUUGACACCUCUAACUACAUAUCUCAAAAUCAAGCCAUGAGAAUUUCUGUAAACGAUGUAAUUCACCUUUUAUCAAAAUGUGAAAUUUCAAAAUUCAAUCUGUUGACGUCAUAUGACAUAGGCCAACUGAUGGAAGGUGAAUAUUGUUACCAUUACUUGGUGAUAUCUUGUAGGUCAGUAUGUUCUGACUGUUUUUUUGGGCUUACGUUUGAGUAUACGGUAUACCUUAUUGUAAAUGUGUACUUUUUUGCAACUUCCAAUUUUGUUAAUUGUAAACAUAGACGUUAAUCGCAAAGGUAAGAAAUUUUAAUUUUGUGUUCGCCUUUUUGUUAUAGUAUUUUAUGCAAGCAAACAAAUUGUUUAAUAUUUUUGAAACGUGAGUUUUUAAAAACUUCUUCUCUCAGGGAAUGUAAACGCAAAAGAAAAACUAUGAUUGGAAAGAUCGAAACAAAAGGUCCCAAUCAAACAUAGAAGAAAAACUACGUCAAAAAUUUAUGUACAUUUUUCUAAAAAGGUCUCCUGGUGAAGAAGAUUAACCAGUAGUUGCGUAUAUUUUCCAUACGAUUGAG